rnacentral:rRNA from 1 species
AGAGUUUGAUCCUGGCUCAGGACGAACGCUGGCGGCGUGCCUAAUACAUGCAAGUCGAACGAGAGCGACCGGUGCUUGCACUGGUCAAUCUAGUGGCGAACGGGUGAGUAACACGUGGGUAACCUGCCCAUCAGAGGGGGAUAACAUUCGGAAACGGAUGCUAAAACCGCAUAGGUUCUUAAGUCGCAUGACUCGAGAAGGAAAAGAGGCUUCGGCUUCUGCUGAUGGAUGGACCCGCGGUGCAUUAGCUAGUUGGUGAGGUAACGGCUCACCAAGGCCGUGAUGCAUAGCCGACCUGAGAGGGUGAUCGGCCACAUUGGGACUGAGACACGGCCCAAACUCCUACGGGAGGCAGCAGUAGGGAAUCUUCCGCAAUGGACGCAAGUCUGACGGAGCAACGCCGCGUGAGUGAAGAAGGAUUUCGGUUCGUAAAACUCUGUUGUUAGAGAAGAACAGCGCAUAGAGUAACUGUUAUGCGUGUGACGGUAUCUAACCAGAAAGCCACGGCUAACUACGUGCCAGCAGCCGCGGUAAUACGUAGGUGGCAAGCGUUGUCCGGAUUUAUUGGGCGUAAAGCGAGCGCAGGCGGUCAAUUAAGUCUGAUGUGAAAGCCCCCGGCUCAACCGGGGAGGGUCAUUGGAAACUGGUUGACUUGAGUGCA